rnacentral:rRNA from 1 species
UACGUAGGGCGCAAGCGUUGUCCGGAAUUAUUGGGCGUAAAGAGCUCGUAGGCGGUUUGUCGCGUCUGCUGUGAAAACCUAAGGCUCAACCUUGGGCUUGCAGUGGGUACGGGCAGACUAGAGUGCGGUAGGGGUGACUGGAAUUCCUGGUGUAGCGGUGGAAUGCGCAGAUAUCAGGAGGAACACCGAUGGCGAAGGCAGCUUUCUGGGACGGUACUGACGCUGAGACGCGAAAGCGUGGGGAGCGAACAGG